rnacentral:rRNA from 1 species
AUUGAACGCUGGCGGCAUGCUUUACACAUGCAAGUCGAACGGUAACAGGCCGCCAGGUGCUGUCGAGUGGCGAACGGGUACGUAAUGCAUCGGAACGUGCCCACUCGUGGGGGAUAACUACUCGAAAGAGUAGCUAAUACCUCAUACGAUCUAUGGAUGAAAGCGGGGGACCGUAAUGCCUCGCGCGAUUGGAGCGGCCGAUGUCAGAUUAGGUAGUUGGUGGGGUAAAGGCUCACCAAGCCAACGAUCUGUAGCUGGUCUGAGAGGACAACCAGCCACACUGGGACUGAGACACGGCCCAGACUCCUACGGGAGGCAGCAGUGGGGAAUUUUGGACAAUGGGCGCAAGCCUGAUCCAGCAAUGCCGCGUGAAGGAAGAAGGCCUUCGGGUUGUAAAAUGCUUUUGUACGGAACGAAAAGGCUCUGGAUAAUACCCGGGGCUAAUGACGGUACCGAAAGAAUAAGCACCGGCUAACUACGUG